AAACGGAUCUGCGGUGGGUACGGCAGACUAGAGUGAUGUAGGGGAGACUGGAAUUCCUGGUGUAGCGGUGAAAUGCGCAGAUAUCAGGAGGAACACCGAUGGCGAAGGCAGGUCUCUGGGCAUUAACUGACGGUGAGGAGCGAAAGCAUGGGGAGCGAACAGGAUUAGAUACCCUGGUAGUUCAUGCCGUAAACGUUGGGCACUAGGUGUGGGGGACAUUUCACGUUUUUCGCGCCGUAGCUAACGCAUUA
rnacentral:rRNA from 1 species